rnacentral:piRNA from 1 species
CGGUAGAGCUAGCUCUUGCUCAGCAGCGG